rnacentral:rRNA from 1 species
UGGGGAAUUUUGGACAAUGGGCGCAAGCCUGAUCCAGCAAUGCCGCGUGCAGGAUGAAGGCCUUCGGGUUGUAAACUGCUUUUGUACGGAACGAAACGGCGAGCUCUAAUACAGUUUGCUAAUGACGGUACCGUAAGAAUAAGCACCGGCUAACUACGUGCCAGCAGCCGCGGUAAUACGUAGGGUGCAAGCGUUAAUCGGAAUUACUGGGCGUAAAGCGUGCGCAGGCGGUUAUGUAAGACAGAUGUGAAAUCCCCGGGCUUAACCUGGGAACUGCAUUUGUGACUGCAUAGCUAGAGUACGGUAGAGGGGGAUGGAAUUCCGCGUGUAGCAGUGAAAUGCGUAGAUAUGCGGAGGAACACCGAUGGCGAAGGCAAUCCCCUGGACCUGUACUGACGCUCAUGCACGAAAGCGUGGGGAGCAAACA